rnacentral:rRNA from 1 species
GCCAUUCCGCGUGCAGGACGAAGGCCUUCGGGUUGUAAACUGCUUUUGUACGGAACGAAAAGGUCUCUAUUAAUACUAGGGGCUCAUGACGGUACCGUAAGAAUAAGCACCGGCUAACUACGUGCCAGCAGCCGCGGUAAUACGUAGGGUGCAAGCGUUAAUCGGAAUUACUGGGCGUAAAGCGUGCGCAGGCGGUUAUAUAAGACAGAUGUGAAAUCCCCGGGCUCAACCUGGGAACUGCAUUUGUGACUGUAUAGCUGGAGUGCGGCAGAGGGGGAUGGAAUUCCGCGUGUAGCAGUGAAAUGCGUAGAUAUGCGGAGGAACACCGAUGGCGAAGGCAAUCCCCUGGGCCUGCACUGACGCUCAUGCACGAAAGCGUGGGGAGCAAACAGGAUUAGAUACCCUGGUAGUCCACGCCCUAAACGAUGUCAACUGGUUGUUGGGUCUUCACUGACUCAGUAACGA